ensembl:snRNA U2 U2 spliceosomal RNA
UCCGCUUCUUGGCCUUUUGGCUAAGAUUAAGUGUAGUAUCUGUUCUUAUCGGUUUAAUACCUGAUACGUCCUCAAUCUGAGGACCUUAUAUUAAAUGUAUUUUUGGGAUAGGGAGAUGGUAUAGGAGCUUGCUCCAUCCACUCCACGCAUCAUCCCGGUAUUGCAGUACCUUUGGGAAUGGUGCACACACA